rnacentral:lncRNA from 1 species
UCUUUUGUCUGUGUUCUUCCAACCCCAAAAGAAUACCAGGGAUGCCAGCACAGCAUGAGCAUAGAGACUGGAAGCUUUUGUCUUCUCUUUGCUGAUUGGCGAGAUGGGCUUACUGUGGACUCUGUGCUGGCAUUUAGGAAUCAGGAUCUAGGAAUUAAGGGAAAGGGAGAGUCAGAUGACUCAGCCGUCAGCAAGUCAGCAAGUGCCUUCAAGGAAGGUGUUUGUUUUGGAAAUGGUGACUUUGUUGAUUUGUAGCACAGGGUCUCUAGGUAGAAAGAUUGGCGAGAAAGCGUUCCUUUCCCUAUCUUAUUGCAGGUCCUUUAUGCGUGACUCUGUACUUCUGUGAGGUGUUUUGCUCUGCCAUUUGGAAGCGUUGUUUGACCUUGAGCAGGCACCAGUGCUCCCUGUGGUGGCGAUCUAGGGGCACUUGGAAGCACAGGGAUUCUGUGGCCACCACAGCCAGGCGGGUGAGGCCGCAGAGCCUGUGCCUGUGGGCUAGGCAGCAACAGUGGUUCUUUGUGUGGCCGCCAGCAGGCCCCUCCCUGUCUCUAUUCCAGCCCUGCAUUUGAGUUGAAUGGAGGGGACUGUGCCUCUGGGAGCUUUUGAUUUUUUCAGUGGCCCAUUAAGUGAAUCAGGGUGAUGUAGGGGUGGAAAAAAACGACCACUGGUUAGGAAAUAUGACAUCUUGUUUUUAUUGCCGUAAACUGAAAAAGUGCCUUGUUACCUCACGUAUCAGGGAAAGAGCCAGUAAAGCUAUUUCCUCUCAUGGAGGAGGGUGUGGGGCUUCCUUACCACUCGGUGUUUACUGAGGCUGAAAUAGCAAGAGAAAGCAUCUGGUAGCCUAGAACCAAAUACAGAAGGAGAAAGCUUGUGUUUCUGUCGCCUUUCUUUCAAUGAAAUAAAAGUUCAAGAGAGUACAGAUUUCCCCUCUGUUCACAGUUCUGCUAGGGGGUAGACAAGCCACUGAGCUUAUUUUUGAGAUUUGAGCUAAGCCUAGUUCCUCCUAACCUCUGUUUCCAGAGGUCUUACUGGCCAUAGCUCUUGUUAUUUCAUUAGUGUUCUUUGAUCUUUACCUCAGUCUCCAGGGAAGGGAUCGCCUAGCUGAGUGCUAAUUCCUGCAAAGUGCUCUGCAGCCAGCCCCGGCCUGGCCAGGGCAGAGGUGGAGCCAGCUGGGCCCUCCCUCUCCGAGGCCAGGCUGCCGCUGCCCGGCACCGUCUUCUGCCAGCGAACAGGGUGCCCUUCAGAGUCUCAUUCUCCCAUCUUCAUUUCCUUCAGCCACUCAACUCUGGAUGGCCUGAGCCUUCACUGAUUUUCAAUUUCUUGGUUUUUAUUUUUUCUUUCACUUUUUAUGUUUCUAUUGUGGUAAAAUAAAUUUAACAUCCCUAAAAUACAGCAUUUUAGCCAUUUUUAGGUGUACAGUUCAGUGGCAUUCAUGGUACUCAUAGUGUUGUGUGACCAUUGCCUCUCCACUUACCACUCCAAACAGAAACACUGCAGCCAUUAGGCAACUACGCCCCGCUUUCCCUUCCCCAAGCCCUGGCGACGACGUCUCAUCUACUUUUUGUGUCUGUAAAUGUGCCUGUUCAUUUCAUUCAUUUCAUUGAAGUGGAAUCCUACGAUAUUUGUGGUUUUAUGUCUGGUGUAUUUUGCUCAGCAUCAUGUUUCUGAGCUUCACCCGCAUCGUGGCACAUGUCAGGACUCCGUUCCUUCUCCAGGCUGAACACACUUCCACUGUAGCAUCUGAUACCACAUUUUUCUAGCCACUCAUUGGUUGAUGGACACUGGGUUCCUUCCACCUUUUCGGCCAUUUUGAAGAAUGCUGCAUGAACCUCUGUUUCAGUCCCUGGUUUCAAUUCUUUUGGGAAUACCUGAGAGUGGAACUGCUGGGUCCUGUGGUGAUUCUGUGUUGAGCUUUUUGAGGAGUGGCUGAACUGUUUUUCACAGUGUUUACACCAGUGUCACAUUCCCACCAGCAAUGCGUGAGGUUUCUGGUUUCUCUACCUCCUUGUCAAUGCUUAUUUUCCAUGUUUCUGAUUAUAGCCAUCCUAGUGUGAAGUGGUAUCUCCUUGUGGCUUUCUGUGUUUGUUUAUUUGUCUGACUCUGAAUCGCCUUGGGAAAUACUUGUAAUUCCUCCAAACCUUUGGCUCCUGUCCCUGUAAAUAAGGAAUCUGAAGCAGCUCCAUGGUUCUUGACUGCAUAUGAGAUUGACCUGGCGCUUUGAUGUGGCCCCCAUGCGUGGGCUCCUGCUCUGGAGGUUCUCAUUGUGUGGAUCCGGGGUGGGACACAUGUUUUCCUACAAAGCUGCCUAGGUGAUGU